rnacentral:rRNA from 1 species
UACGAAGGGGGCUAGCGUUGUUCGGAAUUACUGGGCGUAAAGCGCGCGCAGGCGGCUAUCCAAGUCAGUGGUGAAAGCCCGGAGCUCAACUCCGGAACUGCCAUUGAAACUGUUUAGCUUGAGGACGAGAGAGGUGAGUGGAAUUCCCAGUGUAGAGGUGAAAUUCGUAGAUAUUGGGAAGAACACCGGUGGCGAAGGCGGCUCACUAGCUCGUAUCUGACGCUCAGGCGCGACAGCGUGGGGAUCAAACAGG